CAUGUUCAUUGUUUAUGUGAUUGUGUUUAAUUUGGUAACGGAGAUUAAGGAUAGACAGGAAAGGGAUGUGAUCUAAUAAACAGAUAAGGUGACAGCUUCACUAGAUAUCAUAGGAGAUGGUGGACGGACCGGGUUCAUAGGGAACCCUACCGUGAACGUUGUCUCAUACCGAAUAGAGUAUGGAGACUUGGUCAUUUGGCGCUUAUACCGGACGAGGUAUGGGGAUGGCUCGCUACACCCUCAUACCGAAUGGGGUAUAGGUACAGCCCUGGAAUUAAGAUUGUUAAUGGAAAGGGUUCACGUGUAGCGGGGACACCCCUAGGGAUCCCCAUGGAUACUAGUAGGCUGAUAAAAAAUGGCAAUUGUUGUUUGAUGAUUUGAAUAUAAAAGUAUAAUAUAUGCUAUGUUGCAGAUUAUAUAUGAAAUCAUGAUAUUUAUAAUGUUAUUGUUUUCAUAGGUUGUUUUUAUAAAUCUCACUGCUGUAA
rnacentral:lncRNA from 1 species